UUCCGGUUGAUCCUGCCAGUAGGCCAUUGCUAUUGGAGUCCGAUUUAGCCAUGCUAGUUGUACGAGUUCAGACUCGUAGCAGAUAGCUCAGUAACACGUGGCCAAACUACCCUCUGGAGCGCGACAACCUCGGGAAACUGAGGCUAAUCGCGCAUACCGCUCUCAGGCUGGAACUGCCGAGAGCGCGAAAUGCUCCGGCGCCAGAGGAUGUGGCUGCGGCCGAUUAGGUAGACGGUGGGGUAACGGCCCACCGUGCCAGUAAUCGGUACGGGUUGUGAGAGCAAGAGCCCGGAGACGGUAUCUGAGACAAGAUACCGGGCCCUACGGGGCGCAGCAGGCGCGAAACCUUUACACUGCACGCCAGUGCGAUAAGGGGACUCCAAGUGCGAGGGCAUAACGUCCUCGCUUUUCGUGACCGUAAGGUGGUCACAGAAUAAGGGCUGGGCAAGACCGGUGCCAGCCGCCGCGGUAAUACCGGCAGCCCAAGUGAUGGCCGCUCUUAUUGGGCCUAAAGCGUCCGUAGCUGGCCGCGCAAGUCCAUCGGGAAAUCUGUCCGCUUAACGGGCAGGCGUCCGGUGGAAACUGUGCGGCUUGGGACCGGAAGACCAGAGGGGUACGUCUGGGGUAGGAGUGAAAUCCUGUAAUCCUGGACGGACCACCGGUGGCGAAAGCGCCUCUGGAAGACGGAUCCGACGGUGAGGGACGAAAGCUCGGGUCACGAACCGGAUUAGAUACCCGGGUAGUCCGAGCUGUAAACGAUGUCUGCUAGGUGUGGCACAGGCUACGAGCCUGUGCUGUGCCGUAGGGAAGCCGUGAAGCAGACCGCCUGGGAAGUACGUCCGCAAGGAUGAAACUUAAAGGAAUUGGCGGGGGAGCAC
rnacentral:rRNA from 1 species